GACGAACGCUGGCGGCGCGCCUAACACAUGCAAGUCGAACGGAGUUUCCCCUUCGGGGGGAGCUUAGUGGCGGACGGGUGAGUAACACGUGAGGAACCUGCCUUUGAGAGCGGGAUACCGUCUGGAAACGGACGUUAAUACCGCAUAAUGCAGCGAGGCCACAUGGCCAUGCUGCCAAAGAUUUAUCGCUCAAAGAUGGCCUCGCGCCUGAUUAGAUAGUUGGCGGGGUAACGGCCCACCAAGUCUGCGAUCAGUAGCCGGACUGAGAGGUCGAACGGCCACAUUGGGACUGAGAUACGGCCCAGACUCCUACGGGAGGCAGCAGUGGGGGAUAUUGCACAAUGGGCGAAAGCCUGAUGCAGCGACGCCGCGUGAGGGAAGACGGUUUUCGGAUUGUAAACUCCUGUCAUGUGUGAACAAGGUUGUCGUGUUAAUAGCAUGGCAAAUUGAUGGUAACACAAGAGGAAGAGACGGCUAACUCUGUGCC
rnacentral:rRNA from 1 species